rnacentral:rRNA from 1 species
GUAGGGAAUAUUGCGCAAUGGGGGAAACCCUGACGCAGCGACGCCGCGUGAGUGAUGAAGGCCUUCGGGUCGUAAAGCUCUGUUGCAGGGGAAUAAAAAAAUGAAGGUACCCUGUGUGGAAGGAUCGGCUAACUUCGUGCCAGCAGCCGCGGUAAGACGAGGGAUCCUAGCGUUGCUCGGAAUCAUUGGGCGUAAAGAGGGCGUAGGUGGCUUGGUAAGUCAGGUGUGAAAGCCCAGGGCUCAACCCUGGAAGUGCAUUUGAUACUGCUGAGCUUGAGUGUCGGAGAGGUUACCGGAAUACCUGGUGUAGUGGUGAAAUACGUAGAUAUCAGGUGGAACACCGGAGGCGAAGGCGGGUAACUGGACGAACACUGACACUGAGGCCCGAAAGCGUGGGGAUCAAACAGGAUUAGAAACCCGAGUAGUCC